UGGGGAAUAUUGCGCAAUGGGCGAAAGCCUGACGCAGCGACGCCGCGUGAGGGAUGAAGGUUUUCGGAUCGUAAACCUCUGUCAGAAGGGAAGAAACCGCACUGUGCUAAUCAGCAGUGCCUUGACGGUACCUUCAAAGGAAGCACCGGCUAACUCCGUGCCAGCAGCCGCGGUAAUACGGAGGGUGCAAGCGUUAAUCGGAAUUACUGGGCGUAAAGCGCACGUAGGAUGCUUUGUAAGUCAGGGGUGAAAUCCCACGGCUCAACCGUGGAACUGCCGUUGAUACUGGUUAGCUUGAAUCCGGGAGAGGGUGGCGGAAUUCCAGGUGUAGGAGUGAAAUCCGUAGAUAUCUGGAGGAACAUCAGUGGCGAAGGCGGCCACCUGGACCGGUAUUGACGCUGAGGUGCGAAAGCGUGGGGAGCAAACAGG
rnacentral:rRNA from 1 species